GAUGAACGCUGGCGGCGUGCCUAACACAUGCAAGUCGAGCGAUCUCUUCGGAGAGAGCGGCGGACGGGUGAGUAACGCGUGGGUAACCUGCCCUGUACACACGGAUAACAUACCGAAAGGUAUACUAAUACGGGAUAAAAUACGAAAGUCGCAUGGCUUUUGUAUGAAAGCUCCGGCGGUACAGGAUGGACCCGCGUCUGAUUAGCUAGUUGGUAAGGUAAUGGCUUACCAAGGCAACGAUCAGUAGCCGACCUGAGAGGGUGAUCGGCCACACUGGAACUGAGACACGGUCCAGACUCCUACGGGAGGCAGCAGUGGGGAAUAUUGCACAAUGGGCGAAAGCCUGAUGCAGCAACGCCGCGUGAGCGUUGAAGGCCUUCGGGUCGUAAAGCUCUGUCCUCAAGGAAGAUAAUGACGGUACUUGAGGAAGAAGCCCCGGCUAACUACGUGCCAGCAGCCGCAGUAAAAC
rnacentral:rRNA from 1 species